UGAAAAGAUUCACGUCGUCAUUAUCGACGAUGUUAUUUUCCCUCCAGUCUGAUUGAGUGUCUGGUCUCGUCCACUCUGUUGUAGAAGACACAUACUGUAGGUGUCCCUCCAGUCUGAUUGAGUGUCUGGUCUCGUCCACUCUGUUGUAGAAGACACAUACUGUAGGUGUCCCUCCAGUCUGAUUGAGUGUCUGGUCUCGUCCACUCUGUUGUAGAAGACACAUACUGUAGGUGUCCCCUCCAGUCUGAUUGAGUGUCUGGUCUCGUCCACUCUGUUGUAGAAGACACAUACUGUAGGUGUCCCUCCAGUCUGAUUUAGUGUCUGGUCUAGUCCACUCUGUUGUAGAAGACACAUACUGUAGGUGUCCCCUCCAGUCUGAUUGAGUGUCUGGUCUAGUCCACUCUGUUGUAGAAGACACAUACUGUAGGUGUCCCUCCAGUCUGAUUGAGUGUCUGGUCUCGUCCACUCUGUUGUAGAAGACACAUACUGUAGGUGUUCUUGACAGUCUUGUCUUUCAGUGACAUGAGGUCAAAAUAUGUUGUCGUUUAAACUGUUCCGAAGAUAGAGUCACAUUCGUAGGAAGAAAACGGAAAACCGCUUUGGUUUUUAAAAACCGAAUGUUGCCUACCAGAGGAAAUAACUCCGGUUACAAUGAACCAAAUUGAAUUGUAUUUAUUUAUCCCCUAAUCUGAUAGUAUUCUGGUGUAUCUCACCGCUCACAGAAUAAACAUCAACUGUCUGAUUCAGAAGACUAACCACUUUAACAACUCAUAAACACACCGAUGUUGUCGGUUAAUAAGAGCGGUAUAAACUUACCGGAGAUCGAGUCUGCAACAGAGCUCAGUGAAUGGAAACGGAGAAAGAGAAAGAAAGAAGGGAGGCUGAGAAAGAGUGGAAAAACGAGUUCCCUGAGCGAGAGUCGGGACUCCACCCAUGAUGACUAAACAACUCACCGCACAGCGACUCGUCAGACUGGCUGAAGCAAACGGCUAGUAAAUGUGUUGUCUGACUGUAGUGCGCUUUUGGGACUGGCCGAGGAGUAGGGUUGAUCAGAAACGGCUGUGAUAUGUUGUCUGACUGUAGUGCGCUUUAGGGACUGGCCGAGGAGUAGGGUUGAUCCGAAACGACUGUCAGGCACCCGAGCUAACAGAGGCUCGCUUGUUAGCUACUUCCAGACACAUAAUGAGAGAACACUAUUUUACUCACCCUAGCAAAUCAAAUCACAUCACAUUUUAUUGGUCACAUACAGUGGAGAGAACAAGUAUUUGAGACACUACCGAUUUUGCAGGUUUUCCUACUUACAAAACAUGUUGAGGUCUGUAAUUUGUAUCAUAGGUACACUUCAACUGUGAGAGACGGAAUCUAAAACAAAAAUCACAUUGUAUGAUUUUUAAGUAUUUGAUCACCUACCAACCAGUAAGUAAUCUAACCAAUUCCACAACAACUACCUAAUACACACACAUCUAAAGAGGUGAAUGAGAAUAUGUACAUAUAAAUAUAUGGUGAGUGAUGGCCGAGCGGCAUAGGCAAGAUGCAAUAGAUGGUAUAAAAUACAGUAAAUACAUAUGAUGAGUAAUAUAAGAUAUGUAAACAUCAUUAUUAAAGUGGCAUUGUUUAAAGUGACUAGUGAUCCAUUUAUUAAAGUGGCCA